rnacentral:tRNA from 1 species
GGGGACGUAGCUCAAUUGGCAGAGCAUCGCGUUUGCAACGCGGGGGUUGUGGGUUCAAGUCCCUCCGUCUCCA